UACAGAGGUCUCAAGCGUUGUUCGGAUUCAUUGGGCGUAAAGGGUGCGUAGGUGGCGUGGUAAGUCGGGUGUGAAAUCUCGGAGCUUAACUCCGAAACUGCAUUCGAUACUGCCGUGCUUGAGGACUGGAGAGGAGACUGGAAUACUUGGUGUAGCAGUGAAAUGCGUAGAUAUCAAGUGGAACACCAGUGGCGAAGGCGAGUCUCUGGACAUUUCCUGACGCUGAGGCACGAAAGCCAGGGGAGCAAACGGG
rnacentral:rRNA from 1 species